CUAUGAUAUCCACACUCUGAGGUGUGCUCGUAAAGAUGUUUGUAUAUGCUGGAAGAAGAUCUUGCUUCAGCUGGGUUACCAGAAGGAGGCAGAUUCCUUACUGACAGUGAACAGACAGACGGUUCUGAGUGACUGGGAGAGGGGCCCGAGUCAACAUGCUGUUCAGGAGGCCCAGUAACUGUAGCGGUGCCCCUGGGGGGGUCUGCAUGGUUUUACUUCACACCAGCACAUAGAUCUCCUCACCAUGUGUGCUGAUAACUGCCAUUCUGUGCCUGUUUGACGACUCUCCACGGCUCUUUGGUCUGCCCCGGAA